AUUGAACGCUGGCGGCAUGCUUUACACAUGCAAGUCGAACGGUAACAGGCCGCAAGGUGCUGACGAGUGGCGAACGGGUGAGUAAUGCAUCGGAACGUGCCCAGUCGUGGGGGAUAACUACUCGAAAGAGUAGCUAAUACCGCAUACGAUCUAUGGAUGAAAGCGGGGGACCGUAAGGCCUCGCGCGAUUGGAGCGGCCGAUGUCAGAUUAGGUAGUUGGUGGGGUAAAGGCUCACCAAGCCAACGAUCUGUAGCUGGUCUGAGAGGACGACCAGCCACACUGGGACUGAGACACGGCCAAGACGCCUACGGGAGGCAGCAGUGGGGAAUUUUGGACAAUGGGCGCAAGCCUGAUCCAGCAAUGCCGCGUGCAGGAAGAAGGCCUUCGGGUUGUAAACUGCUUUUGUACGGAACGAAACGGCUCUGGUUAAUACCCGGGGCUAAUGACGGUACCGUAAGAAUAAGCACCGGCUAACUACGUG
rnacentral:rRNA from 1 species